UACGAAGGGGGCUAGCGUUGUUCGGAAUCACUGGGCGUAAAGCGCACGUAGGCGGAUUGUUAAGUCGGGGGUGAAAUCCUGAGGCUCAACCUCAGAACUGCCUUCGAUACUGGCAAUCUCGAGUCCGGAAGAGGUUGGUGGAACAGCUAGUGUAGAGGUGAAAUUCGUAGAUAUUAGCUAGAACACCAGUGGCGAAGGCGGCCAACUGGUCCGGUACUGACGCUGAGGUGCGAAAAGCCGUGGGGGAGCAAACAGGAUUAGAUACCCCAUGUAGUCCCUAGGUACC
rnacentral:rRNA from 1 species